GACUGCAAACGGUGGAUCACUCGGCUCGCAGGUCGAUGAAGAACGCAGCUAGCUGCGUUAAGCGGUGUGAAUUGCAGGACACGCCGAGCACUUGAUUUUCGAACGCAUAUUGCAGCCUAGGGUUUUUCCCUGGGUUUCGUUUGUCUGAGGGUCGGUAUUAAAAACCCAUCGUAAAAGUCUGUUCAGUGACUAACGAUAUAACUAUUGUUAGUUUCGUCAGACAAUUGUUACACUUGUUCGGAGUGAAUACUGCCGUCAGAGUUUCGAGCAAUUAAUCAGCUUGAACACUACAUGUCUCGCUGUGCUCGGUUAACUAACUCAUUGACGACUGUUUGGGUCAGUGUGCAACGCGCACGUCAAACGCUCUCUGACGCAUAGUGUUGUUGUUGUUGUUGUGACUUUGUCGUCGACACAAUACUACUCAAUUGUCGACCUCAGAUCAAGCGAGAUUACCCGCUGAAUUUAAGCAUAUAACUAAGCGGUGGAAAAGAAACCAAAAGGGAUUUCGAUAGUAACGGCGAGCGAAAUCGAAACAGCUCAGCGCCAAGUCCUAUCGUCAUAAGGCGUAUAGGAGAUGCGGCGUGAAUGUAACAAUGCAUCGCAUUUUGUCAUUGCAACGCAAGUUCUUCUGACAAGGACUUUUUCCAUAGCGGGUGCUAGGCCCAUAGCUGUUGCAAGGCAGACGUGCGCAUAUUGUUGCAUGCUAGAGUCAGGUUGCUUGAAAGUGCAGCCCAAAGUAGGUGGUAAACUCCACCUAAAGCUAAAUAUUACUGCGAGACCGAUAGCAAACAAGUACCGUGAGGGAAAGUUGCAAAGAACUUUGAAGAGAGAGUUCAAUAGGACGUGAAACCGUUUGUAGGUAA
rnacentral:misc_RNA from 1 species